rnacentral:lncRNA from 1 species
UAAAAAUAGGAUAAACUUCAAAUACACCCCUGUGAUUUCACACUUUCUCACUUUAGUAAUAUGUAGUUUAAAGUGUAUCAAGUUAACUCAUGUAGUUUCACACUUUCUCACCGUGGUUUAAAGUGUAUCAAGUUAAUACAUUGUGGUUCUAUUUUUCCCUUUUCAUUAUUCAUGUCACAAAUUUUUUUCAUUAAAUCAAUGAUAAAAUUAAAAUUAAAGAGUACUAAAGUAAAUAUUCGAUAAACCUAGAUAGGAUAUCUGAAGUUUUUUUUGUAUAUAAUUUAAUAAAAUAUUAAAGGAGAAAAAACAAUCGGUGACAAAAUUAAUAUUAAAAAGUACUAAAGUAAAUAUUUGAUAAACCUAGAUAGGAUAUCUGAAGUUGUUUGUAUAUAAUUUAAUAAAAUAUUAACAGAGGAGUCAACGAAAAGAGAAAAAUGAAACCACAAGGUACUAAAUUGAUGCACUUUAAAUCACAUAAUGCUAAAGUGAGAAAGUGCGAAAUCACCUUGUACUUAAUUGAUACACUUUAAACCAUAGAGUACUAAAGUGAAAAAUUGUGAAACUACAUGGUGAUAUUUAAAGUUUUCCCAUAAAAAUAUUACAGAAAUAGUGA